rnacentral:rRNA from 1 species
ACGCUCGACACCUACUGGAGGCAGCAGUCGGGAAUAUUGCGCAAUGGAGGAAACUCUGACGCAGUGACGCCGCGUGCAGGAAGAAGGUUUUUCGGAUUGUAAAACUGCUUUAGACAGGGAAGAAAAAGGACAGUACCUGUAGAAUAAGCUCCGGCUAACUACGUGCCAGCAGCCGCGGUAAUCUGAGGCGGGCUGGCAAGGC